rnacentral:rRNA from 1 species
GACGUAGGGCGCGAGCGUUGUCCGGAUUUAUUGGGCGUAAAGAGCUCGUAGGCGGCUUGUCGCGUCUGUCGUGAAAGCUUGGGGCUUAACCCCAAGUCUGCGGUGGAUACGGGCAGACUAGAGGCAGGUAGGGGAGAACGGAAUUCCCGGUGUAGUGGUGGAAUGCGUAGAGAUCGGGAGGAACACCAGUGGCGAAGGCGGCUCGCUGGACCGGUCCUGACGCUCAGGCGCGAAAGCGUGGGGAGCGAUCCGG